AUACGGAGGAUGCAAGCGUUAUCCGGAUUUAUUGGGUUUAAAGGGUGCGUAGGCGGUUUGCUAAGCGGGAGGUGAAAUGCCGGCGCUCAACGUCGGAAGUGCCUCCCGAACUGGUGGACUUGAAUGACUCUGCCGUGGGAGGAAUGUGUAGUGUAGCGGUGAAAUGCUUAGAGAUUACACAGAACACCGAUUGCGAAGGCAUCUCACGAAGGGUUGAUUGACGCUGAGGCACGAAAGCGUGGGGAUCAAACAGGAUUAGAUACCCUGGUAGUCCACGCAGUAAACGAUGAUGGCUAACCGCUGGGCUUAUCAGUUCAGUGGCCAAGCGAAAGCGAUAAGCCAUCCACCUGGGGAGUACGACCGCAAGGUUGAAACUCAAAGGAAUUGGCGGGG
rnacentral:rRNA from 1 species